UAUUUUGUGAGGACCUGGAGGACUUUGAUGAUCAUAAUAUCAAUCCCGUCACUGGUGCUCGGUAUCGCCUAUCUCUGUUUCCUAGACGAAUCUCCCCGAUGGCUCCUCAAUAAAAAGAGAACAAAAGACGCCAACAUAAUUCUUAGCAACAUCGCCAAACUGAAUAAAACAGUUUUGCCUCAAACAGAAAUCGUCAACAUUUUCUCAUCGAACAAUAAAAGAGUAGAAAUCUGGAAAAUGUUUACCAUUCCUCAGCUUCUAAAACGGACCCUAAUUUUGAUGCUAAACUGGAUGAUUGUGAGCAUGGUAUAUUACGGCCUUACUCUUAAUGUUGACAAAUUGUAUGGCAAUCUCUAUAUGAAUUUUUUUUUGAAUUCGGUUGUCGAGUUUCCAGCCUACAUUCUGUGCAUCCUUCUGUUAAAUCGUGUUGGAAGAAGAAAAUUGUAUUCCAGCCUGAUGAUUUUGGCUGGAGUCAUGUGUAUUGCUGGAAUAUUUCCCGUACUCUUUGGCACUAAAGCCCAUCGAUGGAUGUUAACUGCCAGUUCGAUGUUAGGCCGUUUGUUUAUCACUGCAACUUUUGGAAUUGUGUAUUUAUACACUUUGGAAUUAUAUCCAACUUGUAUAAGAAACGGUGCAUUGGGGGUUUUGUCCACCUUUGCACGUUUUGGCGGCGCUUUGGCACCUUACACUCUCAAUGUUUCACUAAACUGUGGCCAUGCUGCAGCACUGCCUUGAAGAAUUUCAGUUGAAUGAAUCAACCCCAGUGCUUAUUAUUUGGGGGCAUCCAGCCGCAGAAACCAUGCCACAACCGACAUUUGGAAUCCAGACAUCUCCCUGCUAGCCAGCUCCGUAUCAAGCCAGCAUGGAGACCAGACUUUACAUGAUGAUAAUAAAGAUUCAGAUUUGGUUUCUGGCAAGGUUGGUCGAAUAAUGCCAAUGAUUCUUAUGGGAGCACUUUCCAUAAUCGCGGGGCUAUUGUCAUUGUUGUUACCUGAAACAAACAACCGGAAAAUGAUGGACAACUUCAAUGAUGUGACCAAAUCUGGAGAACUGGAGUUAACGUAGGUGUCUCUCAUAU